rnacentral:misc_RNA from 1 species
AAAGAAUUGGACUUCCAAAACUGCAGAAACAUAUUACCUAUGGAAUGAGUGAUUCAUAUUCAUUGAAAAGGUAAAUAAAAAUUUAAUCACAGUUUGAAAGAACGACAAAAUACAUUGGUCCUUUAAUUGCUACUAGACAUCACACUUAUGCUAGAUGUGCUGUAUAUUUAUCGAAUCGUAGUCCCACAAAGAGCUUGCUGAAAGUAACCCCUCAAAAGGUAUGGAGUGCAAGAAAGCCAAGCACUUCUCAUUUGUGAGUUUUUGGCAGCAUUGCUUAUGUUCAUGUGGAAAUUUUGCUUAUAAUCAUUUCCUUGGCUGCACAAAACAAGUGGAAAUUUUGCCAAAUGGAUGUGUAUUCAGCAUUUUUGAAUGACCAUCUUGAAGAAGUGUAUGUGGAACCAUUGUGAUACAAGGUUCAUGGGCAAGAAGACAAGGUGUUGAAAUUGAAGAAAGCCUUGUAUGGACCCAAGCAAGCUCCAAGAGCAUGGUACACUCAUAUUGAUGAAUAUUCCCAGAAAAAUGGAUAUAGAAAGUGUCAUCGUGAACAUGAUUUGUAUGUCAAGAAGGAUGGAAGCAAGGAAGCAAUAUUGGUCUGCUUGUAUGUAGAUGAUUCGACAUUUACUAGUAACAAUCCAGAGAUGAGGAAGGUGGCACAAGAAUUCGAAAUGAAGGAUUUGGAGUUGAUGAUUUAUUAUCUCAGAAUUGAGGUAAAGCAAGGAGAUGAAGGUAUUUUCAUUUCUCAAAAGGGUUAUCCUGAAAAAAUCUUAAAAGAAUUUCAGAUGGAGCAUUGCAAUCCUGUUAAUACACCUAUGGAGUGUGGAACAAAGUUUUCUAAGCUUGAUAAUGCUUAAGAAGUAAAUCCAACUUUGUUUCAAAGAAUAGUUGGAAGCCUAAGAUUUUUAACUUGUACAAUACCUGACAUUUUGUAUGGAGAAGAUAUAAUUAGCCAAUAUAUGGAAGCUCCAAGUUCAGUUCACAUGAAGGCUGCUAAAAAGAUUCUUCGAUAUAUUGAAGGAACCUUGGAUUAUGCUUUAUUUUAUACAGCAGGAAAAGAUUUCACAUUAAUUGGAUGUACUGACAGUGAUUGGGAUGGAGAUAUAGAUGAUCGAAAAAGCACAACUGGUUUAACUUUCUUCAUGGGCAGUUCUGUAUUCACUUGGAGUUCAAAGAAACAACCAAUUGUAACUCUGUCAACAUGUGAAGCUGAGUAUGUAGCAGCUGUUUCAUGUGUCUGUCAUGCUGUUUGGUUAAGAAGGCUGCUUAAAUGCUGGGUUUCUUGCAAAAGGGAGCUACUGAUAUUUUCAUUGAUAAUAAGUCAACGAUUGUGUUGGGAAAAAAUCCAAUUUUUCAUAAUAGAAGUAAGCACAUAGAAACAAGAUAUCAUUUUACUAAGAGAAAGCAUCAACAGAAAGGAAGUUAUCCUCAAGCAUGUGAAGAGCGAAGAACAAGUUGCGGACAUUUUUACCAAAGCACUUAAGUAUGAAGUUUUUCGCAAAUUAAGAAAUUAUCUUGAAGUUACCAAAGAACAAGGAAGGGCGUUGAGAAAUUAAACUAGUUGAUGCAUAUUAAUUCAUUUUAAGUACAUGUAUUUAGUUUUAAUGUGUCAUUAAAUGUUAUUGUACCUAUAAAUAUUUUAGUUGAAACAAAUUUGGUGUGUGCUUUUGGAAAUUGAUAAUUCUUGAGUUGAUGAGUUCUAGUUUUUCUUUAGCCUUUAAGUUACAUGAACUUGUUGGAAAUUGAAGGCGGAUGGGCACAAUCCUCAAAGAACUAUUCAAAAGAGAGAUAAUAUAAAAACACUUCUAUUUUAAAAUGAAAUAUAUAAUAUGACUCUUCAUAAUCUAAAAUCCUUUAACUUGUAUAACUCUAAUGACUAUUCAAUGAACUCAUAUAUUACUCACAUAUAUGUAGCUAGUAAUCACCACACUAAAUAACAUACUUAUAACAUUCAUUACGCAUUUUAUUAACUAGACAUUCACUUAUACUAGAUUCAUGUAUUGACUUUUCAUUUCCCAAAUAUAUCAAUUAAGUUUACUUUCCCACACUCUUAUGUAAACUUAAUUGUUUUCCCGUGUGACUCAAAUCAUUGAUUACGAUUGCUUGGACCACAUACAAUAGAAAAAUCACGAAUUGCAUAAACUAAUCUUUUAUUAGCUAGCCUUCCUUCUUCACUCAACUUCUUUUGUUAACAAUUCCGCAUCUAAAAGAAACAUCAAGUCUA